rnacentral:sRNA from 12 species
CGUUAAGAGGUCACCUCUGUCGUUACCUGCUUUAUGCAGAUACGAGAAUGUGGCUGUCAA